GAGGAGGUGAUGCUGACGGAGGACUGAACAGCUGGGAGGAACUGGCCGUGCAAAACUUCAGAGCAGGAGGAGACCUCAGGAUGCCCAGCACCUUGGAGGAACGGAAGGAAGGCCCAGGAUUUCUGGAGCUGCUCAGCUGAGGGGUUCCAGCUUGGGGUCUCCCAUGAGGUUGCUGUGAAGAUGCUGGCUGAGGCUACAGUAUCGGAAGGCCAAGUUGGUGCUUGUCAUCGGCAGACAGACGGUGAUCGGAGAGGAAUGAACCCCAGUCCUUCCUUAUUCCCCGCAUCAAGAGCCAAUAUUCUUUACUUCUCUGUAUUUAAAAAUUAAAAC